UGUUCCACGGUUUGACUUUACUUUGUUGGUGGUGGUGUUUAUGUUUUUUUAACCGAAAUCAUUUCUGGUUGAUAUCUGAGUUCUUUUGGCUGGUUCUGUUGCAGUAGUAGCUGUGAGUUUGUUUUGCUGUUUUUUCUUAAUUUAUGAUGAUUCAGCUGGAGAAAGGCCCUGAACUUUUGAUAUCUGCAUGAAGUCUUGAGAGA
rnacentral:misc_RNA from 1 species